UUUCCGUAGGUGAACCUGCGGAAGGAUCAUUACCGUAGGGGCUCACCCCCCUUCGAGAUAGCACCCUUGAUUUUCGAGCACCUCUGUUUCUUCGGCGGGUCCGCCCGCCGGUGGACAACCCAAACCCUCUUUUGCAAUAGCAGUACUCUGAUAAACAAACAAAAGUCAAAACUUUCAACAACGGAUCUCUUGGUUCUGGCAUCGAUGAAGAACGCAGC
rnacentral:misc_RNA from 1 species